GCUUUAAUAAUUUAAAUAAAAAUAUUGAUCUUGUAAAUCAAAAAUAAUGUAUAUUUUAAAGCU
rnacentral:tRNA from 1 species